rnacentral:rRNA from 1 species
AUACGUAGGGUGCGAGCGUUGUCCGGAAUUACUGGGCGUAAAGAGCUCGUAGGUGGUUUGUCGCGUCGUCUGUGAAAUUCCGGGGCUUAACUCCGGGCGUGCAGGCGAUACGGGCAUAACUUGAGUACUGUAGGGGAGACUGGAAUUCCUGGUGUAGCGGUGAAAUGCGCAGAUAUCAGGAGGAACACCGGUGGCGAAGGCGGGUCUCUGGGCAGUAACUGUCGCUGAGGAGCGAAAGCAUGGGUAGCGAACAGGAUUAGAUACCCUGGUAGUCCACGCCGUAAACGGUGGGCGCUAGGUGUAGGGGUCUUCCACGACUUCUGUGCCGUAGCUAACGCAUUAAGCGCCCCGCCUGGGGAGUACGGCCGCAAGGCUAAAACUCAAAUGAAUUGACGGGG